rnacentral:rRNA from 1 species
GGCAACAGUGGGGAAUAUUGCACAAUGGGCGCAAGCCUGAUGCAGCCAUGCCGCGUGUGUGAAGAAGGCCUUCGGGUUGUAAAGCACUUUCAGUCGUGAGGAAGGUAGUGUAGUUAAUAGCUGCAUUAUUUGACGUUAGCGACAGAAGAAGCACCGGCUAACUCCGUGCCAGCAGCCGCGGUAAUACGGAGGGUGCGAGCGUUAAUCGGAAUUACUGGGCGUAAAGCGCAUGCAGGUGGUUUGUUAAGUCAGAUGUGAAAGCCCGGGGCUCAACCUCGGAAUAGCAUUUGAAACUGGCAGCCUAGAGUACUGUAGAGGGGGGUAGAAUUUCAGGUGUAGCGGUG